GGCCCUAUCGUCUAACCUGGUUAGGACACUAGCUUUUCAAGCUAAGAAUACCGGUUCAAAUCCGGUUAGGGCCG
rnacentral:tRNA from 1 species